GUAGGUGGCAAGCGUUGUCCGGGAAUUAUUGGGGCGUAAAGCGCGCGCAGGCGGUUCUUUAAGUCUGAUGUGAAAGCCCACGGGCUCAACCGUGGAGGGUCAUUGGAAACUGGAGAACUUGAGUACAGAAGAGGAAAGCGGAAUUCCACGUGUAGCGGUGAAAUGCGUAGAGAUGUGGAGGAACACCAGUGGCGAAGGCGGCUUUCUGGUCUGUAACUGACGCUGAGGCGCGAAAGCGUGGGGAGCAAACAGGAUUAGAUACCCUGGUAGUCCACGCCGUAAACGAUGAGUGCUAAGUGUUAGGGGGUUUCCGCCCCUUAGUGCUGCAGCUAACGCAUUAAGCACUCCGCCUGGGGAGCACGGCCGCAAAGGCUG
rnacentral:rRNA from 1 species